UAAGACGAAGAACAAAUGUAACUAAAUACGAUGCAAACUAUAAAAACAACUUUACAGACACAGGUGCCGUCAUUUUGAGUUCAUACAUGCAAAUAUCUAUGACUACAUCUGUUUAAUCCUAAUCUAUUAAAUAAUGUGAUAAAAUUUUAUUUGUUACAAAUAUGUUAAAAACAACCUUGGUAACUGGGGAGACAUUUUGUUAACAUUUAUAUAUAUAUUUUUACUUCAGUUAGCAGGAAAACUGCAUAGACAGCAUCUUCUUAAGCGGGACGUAUUUUGAUUUCCAUGCUAUUCCAUAAGGGUAUUAUGCAGUUUAAAUUGGGUUCUGAAGAAAGGACAAAGCAUUCUUUUUUAAAUUAUUUCACUACUAAGAUGUUUGCUAUAUAAAAUUUCACUUUUUAUGGGUUAUAAAACAAGAAGAAUCUUUUCUGCCAUUCCUAAUCCACAGGGUUUGAUAUGUCGACUCAACCUUAGCAGCUUCAAAUCGUCUGGGAAGAAGGUUUUCCAAAAGCUUUAGGAGUGUGUUCACGUGGAUUUGUUUUAACCAUUCUUCCAGAAGCACAACUGAGUGGUCGGACACUGAUGUUGGACGAGAAGAUCUGGCUCACAGCCAACGCUUUAAUUUAUCCUAAAGGUAUUAAAGUGUGCUGAAGUUAGGUAUCUAUGAAUGCCAGUCCAUUUCUUCCACAAAGUCACUCAUCAAGGUUUUUCUGGACAUUUGAUAAUAAUUAGGUCUUCACAGAAUCCAGUUCAUGCCUAUCCUACUUUGAAUUAAAUUAGAUCAUGGCGAAAAAGUAAUGGUUAGCAGAUCAAAUACGAGAUGUACUUUGAAUAAAAAAAUUCUCAGGUAACAAACAUAUUGACUUGGAAUAAAGAGUAAAUCGAAACCAGAUGCAUCUGGCGUCUAAAAUCAUGUUUCUUCUAACCACGCAAUCUGUAGGAAGAAAGCCAUUGCUGUAAAAGGUAUUUAUGCACAAGUUUACAUCAUGUAAUUAUAAACACAUGAAUGCAUUAUUUAUUCAUCACACAUCUCUGUUUCCCUGCAUCCUCCCCUGGUCUCCUUAAUGAUCCCAUAACUGUAGGAAGAUGUGCAUGCUGGUUAUAGAGCUGCUGAGCAGAUGCACAUAUUUCCACAGCCACCUCAUUAUUGGUAACAUAGUACAUCUAAAUGUGGAAAUUACCAUUCGCCAUGUUUUUGUGCAAUCUAAUCUUCAUGGAAGAUUAGAUUUAGAAGUCCCUGAAGGAUUUCUAAAAAAUGUGUCCAAGUAGAUAUGACCUUCAACUUUAAAUGUGGGAAAAAAACAUAGCAAAAUGUAUAUAUAUAUAUUUUUAUUUUUAAUAAAUUUCUUUAUUUAACCAUGUUUAUGGCUCAACUAUACAUAAAAAACAAUCUCAAAUAUUAAGAAUAUGCACUUCGCUUUCUUUUGGUGAUGGCAUUUAUUCCGUUCGGCUUCUUAUGAUUAUAUAUAAAAAUAAACAUUUAAAUAACCUGGAUGUGUACAAUGCAUUUAAACCUUAACAUAUUCAAUGUAAUAGUACCAUUAAAAAAAGAUAAACCAGCUUUAUUACAGAGUCACCAAUGCGCAAACAUGAAAGAAUGCAUUUCCUGAGUGUGGACCACCCCCAGGCCCACGAGAUGGAGAAAUGCAUGAUGAAGAAGAGGAGGAGGAAGAAAAGGAGGAGUUUCUAGGGGGAUGUGGUGGGGGUGCCAGCUUUCACUGCUGAGCAGAGACAUCUGGAAGCAUUUACAUCUGCGCUAACACAGAGUGGCGCAGGCCCAAAAGUUACAUCACUCAAAGAUCUACACAAUCCCCCUCCCUCACCACACAUCCACACACAUCGGAGUAAAUCCUUAGUUUCAUGUGCAGAAGGAACGAAAUGCACAUGUGGCGGAAAGAGCCGGACAAAGGCAUAAAGUGAACACAGAGUGUGAUCAUAAAGACACUUGUAGAGUUAAGUCCGACUUCCCAAACACCCAGCAGGAGUUGUGAGGACAAGCGCCUACACACUUGUACACACAAUCACCCCCUCCCCUCCGGCCCCAGUAACCCAGUACGAUUUCCUGCAAAUUCCAAAGUCAGAUCCCGGCUGGAACAUUUCAGCUUGGCUGCCACGUCAGUUUGCCUACACCAUCCUAGCCCGCUUGUUAUCCAAGCUUUUCCGCAAGAAAGUCAGUGAAAGGAAGAGAAAACGAAGACAAAGAGACAGCUGUUUCACUUUUUCAUUUGAAUCAGUUCUUUAAUAUUUUUUUAGAUUGCGUUUUUGAUGGAAGAAGACAACGAAGGCUUGAGAGAGAGCGAGUGAAGUCAAUGAAGCAGCAGUUCUUCUCACCUCCUCAUCUUUGUACCAGGAUAGAGAUUCGGCCGUCAGCACGAACCAGUAUUCCUUGGAGCCUCCUUUCAUGAUGCUGAUGUUGAGGGUUAGCCAGCCUUUCCUGAUAACCUGCACAAUGAAGGGAUCGUGUGGAGGAGACAAGGAUUGCAGGGAGAUGGGGAAACAAUAGAAACAGUUAAGCUUUUCUGAAAGUAAGAUUUAAAAAUGAUGAAUUAUUGAUUCAAACACUGACUUACCUGUGUGGUUAAACACUAGUUUUGUUUACGUUUUAAAUUAAAUGUUAUUUAAAUGUGAUUUUAGUGAUAGUUAAGACUUCCUACGACAGAAGUGCAAAAGGGAUGGAAUAAUCAGAGGAUAGUAAAAUGUGCAUCUUAGAAUGGGCAGUCAGAUGUUAAAAAAAAUAUCCAGACUGAAACUACUGAACAGAAAUGAAAGCCUUGUUCUGUUUUACUCAACAGAAAAUGAAUCAAACCAAGAAAGUGAGACGCUUUCUAGGGCGUGCCCGCCCCAAUUUAGGGGCAAAUACGAAAGGUCGACGGCGGCGUCAGAAGUUAAUCAGAGGAUCAGAGGUGCUCGAUUACACAGAGAAAAUGUUAAACAGCUUUCCUUCAGAAGCAUACAGAACGAAUGUGUUAGUUGAGUCGACAAAUGCUGCGUUUUCAGACAAACAAAUCUAAACAGCGGCUGGUUACAUGUUAAGCGAAGGAGGACGAGACAGAAACAGCUAACUGUAGCAGGUUAUUUUAGAAAAGUUAUUUAGUUUUAAAAGCUCUUCUAAAAAUCACAUCUUUCUACAUUGACUCCCAUGCACUCCUACUACAAUAUCAGGAAGUACGUUGUGAAAUAAAAGCUGGGGGGCGUGGGGUAAUGUGUUGGGUUCAUGUCAAAUCCUUCUUCAGACUUCGGUUGUACAAUUUCUCUCCAUUCAGAAGAGAACUUCAGUGGGAGAUGGUGGAGGCAGAGAGGGAGCUUAUUUACUUGGCGUAAUAGUGCCAAUAUCAAUAUGGGAGAGGAGGUAACAGAGUUCCUGGAGAGUAAUGACUCAAGCUUUACAGAAAUGAAAAAAAAAACCCAAACAAAAAGUAAAACUUUAAAUCCAGUCAGUUGGGAAUACUGUUUCCUGUGUUUUACAGUCAGCCUGUGUACGAUAUAAAGGGGAGUCAUAGAUGCUCUGGUUUCCUUUUACAAACGUUUAUAUUGAAUGUUCUGCUUAAAUGUUGUUGCUGAUUUAUUGGUUAGUUAAAGCUGACAGACAUCUGAGAUCAACAACAAAAAUGCUUCAUAAGACAAAAGCUCCAAGUUCUAUAUUAAAAGCUUGAGAUAUGGAAAAAAAUGGGACCAAAAUAAAUCAUUUUAGUUUUUUUGUCACUUUUAUUGUGAUGUAAAACUGAAAGAAAAAUACAUCUUUUGUGAAGUAGUAAAAUAUUAUGCUUGCAUAAGUGUGUACACCCUCAUAACUUGAUAUAUAGCGGUGUCCUAAUCAACCUGCCAUCAUUUCAACAGCCUCUGCUUAACCAGACAUACAAAUUGAGCUGUAGUUUUUUGCCCCCUUUCUUUCCCUAAAAUUUCAUUAGCAAGCCAACAAUAAAACCCAGGGUCUGCAAAGAUCUCAUUGUUAUGAGGAAUCAGUUGGGGCAGCAGGGCACAAACAGCUUUCAAAGCACUCAAUACAUCUUAGAACAGUAAAGACGGUCAUCAGGUGGCAAGACGGAAAUCUUUUCUAACCAAGAAAAGGAAUCCAAACCUAGCAGCUAAAUUCUGUGAAAACACGUCUUGGGUUUUCCAAAAUCAAGUAGGAAAAUGUGUUACUGGUCAGAUAAAACCCGUGUUUCAUCAAAAAGCAAGAGUAUUUGGAGCAAAAACUGCACAUCACCAAAAAUGUAUCAUACACAUAGUGGUGCAUGGUGGCAGUAGCAUAAUGCUCUGAGCCAGCCUUUUCAUUAGGGAUGUAAAGGUAUCUAAUAAAGUAUUUAAGGGUACACACACUUAUGACACCACAGUAUUAUUAUUCCCCCUAAAAGAUAUAUAUUUUUUUCUCCAAUUUAGCUUAUCUGUUACAUUAAAGUGGAAAAAAAGUUCUAAAAUGAUUUGUUAGUCUCAUUUCCUUACAUUACAAAAACGUUGCUGUUUUUUAGGAGUGUGUGGACAUUUUGUAUGUAUUGUGUAUAAACAUGAAGUUUGCCUUGAUUAAACUUUAGAAAAUAAAACAAAGAUAUGUUGACGAGGAUUUAUUUUGUAUAAGCCAUUAGCAUACACCCCAAAGCCAUGACAAGUCACCAGAUUAAUUAAAAAACAGAUUGGAUGAGAUGAGAAAUUAUCGUCAGACAUUUGAUUUUGUUAGUAGAAUUUUAGAACUUUUAUGUAAAAAAAAAAAAAAAAAGAAAGUUAUAUUUUUCAAAUUAAAAAAAUACACUUUUUGGGUAUGUCGCUGAUUUGAUUGGUCCCGUUAUUCCCCCAGUGACCUUCUGGACGGUUCUCACAAGGCAAACAUUUGGAUCACCAUGCAUGAGGCAGCAGCAGAGGUAAACACCAAGUGACAGAGGAACUGACACCUCCGCAAUUACAGGCUGUAGGGUUCUUCAUCCUUUCUCUUGUCCUCAGUAGAGAGAAGGUAGGAUUCUAGCGUACUACAAAAAUAAAUUAAGACCCUUUUCAAAAUUUACACUUG